rnacentral:rRNA from 1 species
UGGGGGAUAUUGCACAAUGGGCGAAAGCCUGAUGCAGCGACGCCGCGUGGGGGAUGAAGGCCUUCGGGUUGUAAACUUCUUUUGCUCUGAACAAGGCGCACCAUGGGGUGUGUUGAGUGUAGGGGUUGAUUAGCGCCGGCUAACUACGUGCCAGCAGCCGCGGUAAUACGUAGGGCGCGAGCGUUGUCCGGAAUUAUUGGGCGUAAAGGGCUUGUAGGUGGCUGGUUGCGUCUGUCGUGAAAGCUCAUGGCUUAACUGUGGGUUUGCGGUGGGUACGGGCUGGCUUGAGUGCAGUAGGGGAGGCUGGAAUUCCUGGUGUAGCGGUGGAAUGCGCAGAUAUCAGGAGGAAUACCGGUGGCGAAAGCGGGUCUCUGGGCUGUUACUGACACUGAGGAGCGAAAGCAUGGGGAGCGAACAGG